AAUCAACGCUGGCGGCGUGCCUCAGACAUGCAAGUCGAACGCGAAAUUUCCCUUCGGGGAGAAAGUAGAGUGGCGCACGGGUGAGUAACACGUAGGUAAUCUACCUUCGGAUGGGGAAUAACAAUCGGAAACGGUUGCUAAUACCGCAUAAUGCAGCGGCACCUAAUGGUGACAGUUGUUAAAGCGGGGGAUCGAAAGACCUCGCGUCUGAAGAGGAGCCUGCGGCGGAUAGCUAGUUGGUAAGGUAACGGCUUACCAAGGCUACGAUCCGUAGCCGGCCUGAGAGGGCGGUCGGCCACACUGACACUGACAUACGGGUCAGACUCCUACGGGAGGCAGCAGUCGGGAAUUUUGGGCAAUGGGCGAAAGCCUGACCCAGCAACGCCGCGUGAAGGAUAGAAUCCCU
rnacentral:rRNA from 1 species